GCGCAAUGCACUCCAGAGGGGCGGGUUUGCACGCGGCGCGGGGUACCCCCAGCACUCGGGAGGGGCGAGUUUGCACGCGGCGCGGGGUACCCCCAGCACUGCGCAAUGCAGUCGGGAGGGGCGGGUUUGCACGCGGCGCGGGGUAUGUACAGGGUACCCCCAGCACUGCGCAUGCACUCGAGAGGGGCGGGUUUGCACGCGGCGCGGGGUACCCCCAGCACUCGGGAGGGGCGGGUUUGCACGCGGCGCGGGGUAUGUACGGGGUACCCCCAGCACUGCGCAAUGCACUCUGGAGGGGCGGGUUUGCGCGCGGCGCGGGGUCCGUGCGGGGCACCCCCAGCACUGCGCAAGGCACUCGGGAGGGCUUUGCACGCGGCGCGGGGUCUGUGCAGGGUCACCUUUGCACGCGGUCUGUGCGGAGCACCCCCAGCAUUGCGCAAUGCACUCGGGAGGGCCAGGUUUGCACGUGGUACUGCACGGGGUCUGCGGGGCACCCCCAGCACUGCGCAAUGCACUGGGGAGGUCUUUGCACGCGGCGCGGGCUCUGUGCGGGGCAGUGAUUUCCCUACACCCACUCUCAAUUUCCCCAACACCCCCCCAGUUUUGUGAGCUAGUUACAUACCAAUUCAGUGACUGUUUGGAAAUCUGAAUUUAAACUGAAACAUUAAUACACACUUGAAAAGCUUAUACAGUGUAUGAUAAAAUAUGUGUAUCUGAAAAAGUAUAAUAGAUUUGAAAAGUAUGAACAUAGACUAGCUUCCUUGCUUCCUUAUACAGCUGUUUUUUAUGAUGCCAGUGCAUUCAUUUCGGUGAUGUUGGCCAACCUAAUAAUUUCAAAUGAUGGUUUGUAAGCAAAGUCUAAAUGAGCUCUCCCUGACAGCUAGUGAUGAGCUGGGGCUGGGGGGAAAGGCUUCAGGGCCAGAUUAUAUUUACAUUCACACCUAAUCUACCUAGGUAUCCAGCAAACAGAGCUGUGUUGUCCAAGUGAUAGAUUUUGGCUGGGGUUGGGUUACAAACCACUUGAAUGUGGGGGGAAUGGGGGAUGAAAUGUUGUUCUUAUUGUAUGAGUAAAGGGCAGUAGAACUGUAGCCUGUGAUGAUUUGAAGACAUCAAGAGAGAGGGUGGGGACCUGUCCCUUUCCACUGUUCAAAGGCAGAGCUGAAUAGGCUCCAUAGAUAGUCUUUUGUUCUGUUAAGUGACCACUGCAGCUGAAAUCACUGACAAUCAGGUCUAAGUGCUUAGUCCUGUUGUGGGGACAGUGCUCCUGUGGGGACAGUGUUUUUGUGUAAGAGACAACCCAGACUGCACUAGCAGCGAGCGAGGUUCCCGCACUGAGAGCUCAGCUGAAAUCACUGAGAGCUGGUGAACCUCAAGAGACCAACUCGCAGAGGUCACAGAGGCAGGUGGCAGCAGAAGGUGACUGUGCAGGGCCAUUGGCAACAGAGUGAUGGAGUGAAUGGUGGCACAACGAACAGACGUGGCCAGAGCGAACAGUGAGCAGCUGGGGGAACAAGCAAAGUGCCUUCUUGUCCCCCACCUGGAAGAUGUACUCAUGUGAAAGCACCUCUGAACUCUGAGUCUCCACUGACCAAGGACAACACUGGAUGCCCAACAUUGUUUGCUUUGGUGACUGCAGCUGCACAUUGAGUGGAUGUUUUCAGAGAACUAUCCACAAUGACUCCAAGAUCUCUUUCAUGGGUGUUAACAGCUAAUUCAGAUGCCAUCAUUUUGUAUGUAUAGUUGAGAUUGCUUUCCCAUGUGCAUUGCUUUGCAUUUAUCAACAAUGAAUUUAAUUUGCCAUUUUGUUGCCCAGUCACCCAGUUUUGUGAGAUCCCUUUGUAGCUCUUCACAGUCUGCCUGGGACAUAACUAUCUUGAAUAGUUUUGUAUCAUCUGCAAAUUUUGCCACAUCACUGUUUACCCAUUUUUCCAGAUGAAUACGUUGAACAGUACUGGUCCCAGUACUGACCCCUCAAGGAUACCACUAUUUAUCUCUCUCCAUUCUGAAAAUUGAUAAUUUAUUCCUACCCUUUGUUUCCCAUCUUUUAACCAGUUACUGAUCUAUGAGAAGACUGCCCUCUCAUCCCAUGAUGGCUUACUUUUCAAAAAUCAAUGUAAAUUAAAUUUUUAAAAAAAAUUUUUUUUAGAAAUCUAGAUCUGUUAUGUGUUUUGGUGUAACUUGUAUUUUCCUUAUGUUAAAUUUGCAUAAUCCUAACAAAACAUUUACUUUAUUCAUAUCUCUCUUAUAUAUAUCUCAUUGGACCUGACACCCCCUGUAAAUUCGAACACCCCCCCUAAUUUCAAUUCCUGGGGAAACCACUGGUGCGGGGCACCCUCAGCACUGCGCAAUGCACUCAGGAGAGGC